rnacentral:rRNA from 1 species
GACGAACGCUGGCGGCGCGCCUAACACAUGCAAGUCGAACGAGCGAGAGAGAGCUUGCUUUCUCGAGCGAGUGGCGAACGGGUGAGUAACGCGUGAGGAACCUGCCUCAAAGAGGGGGACAACAGUUGGAAACGACUGCUAAUACCGCAUAAGCCCACGGGUCGGCAUCGACCAGAGGGAAAAGGAGCAAUCCGCUUUGAGAUGGCCUCGCGUCCGAUUAGCUAGUUGGUGAGGUAAUGGCCCACCAAGGCGACGAUCGGUAGCCGGACUGAGAGGUUGAACGGCCACAUUGGGACUGAGACACGGCCCAGACUCCUACGGGAGGCAGCAGUGGGGAAUAUUGCACAAUGGGGGAAACCCUGAUGCAGCGACGCCGCGGGGAGGAAGAAGGUCUUCGGAUUGUAAACUCCUGUUGUUGGGGAAGAUAAUGACGGUACCCAACAAGGAAGUGACGGCUAACUACGUG